rfam:Triticum aestivum genome assembly, contig: Triticum_aestivum_CS42_TGACv1_scaffold_129759_2BL
CGCGUACUUCCUCCGUUCAAAAUUACUUGUUGUGAAAAUAGAUAUAUCUAGAAUUAAAAUAUGUCUAGAUACAUAACAUAUAUUUCUGCGACAAAUAAUUUCGAACGGAGGGAGUACGUA